rnacentral:tRNA from 1 species
GGAGAGGUACCCAAGUGGCUGAAGGGGCGGGAUUGCUAAUCCUGUAGGUCGGAAUCUUCCGGCGCGGGGGUUCAAAUCCCCCUCUCUCCGCCA